UACGUAGGUGGCGAGCGUUGUCCGGAUUUACUGGGCGUAAAGAGCGCGCAGGCGGUCGUUCAAGUCGCGUGUGAAAGCCCCCGGCUCAACUGGGGAGGGUCACGCGAUACUGAUCGACUCGAAGGCAGGAGAGGGUAGUGGAAUUCCCGGUGUAGUGGUGAAAUGCGUAGAUAUCUGGAGGAACACCGGUGGCGAAGGCGGCAUCCUGGACCGGUAUUGACACUGAGGCGCGAAAGCCAGGGGAGCAAACGGGG
rnacentral:rRNA from 1 species